GGUAGCGACUGGCGGGAGGCGGCGGUAAUAGGGAGGGGCCGUGCGUGGGCCGGAAUUGUGGGGCGUAAAGUGCUCGGAGGUGGUUGGUCGUGUCUGCGGUGAUAAAUCGGGGCUUAACUCCGCGCGUGCUGUGGGUACGGGCAGGCUAGAGGGUGGUAGGGGUGAUUGGAAUUCCUGGUGUAGCGGUGGAAUGCGCAGAUAUCAGGAGGAACACCGAUGGCGAAGGCAGGUCACUGGGCCAUUACUGACGCUGAGGAGCGAAAGCAUGGGGAGCGAACAGGAUUAGAUACCCUUGUAGUC
rnacentral:rRNA from 1 species